GAGUGGCGGGUCAGGAGCGGCGGGCCGGGAGGGCGGAGCGGGAGGCGGUCGCUCGUCCUCCUGAGGGGAGCGCCGUCGUUGUUAUAAUGCCAGACUUAGAAAAAGUCAAUUAAACGUUUCUGUAAUACAACUCUUCCCCCUGGGGGCUGACGUGUGUGUCAGAGAGGGCUGCAGUCUCAGGAAGGCGCUCAGUGAAGGCGAUGCCCCCAAGCUGUCAGCCCUGCUUCCUCAGUCCUUGGCGUUAGGCGCAGCUGAGGGGCAGAGUUGGAAGCGGGGCACGGGGUGCGGCGGGUGAUGUGGCAGACCCUGUGGAGGCGCGGUGACUCUUCCAGAAAUACAGAAGAAAUCUCCAAGUUCUGCAGCUUUUCUGUGACGCAGCUGAUCAGAUCACAGAAAAUUUCUAGGCUACAACCAAGAGUUAGGAAAAGGAAUCAAUGGGUGAUUUCCACCCCAGUAACAACUGCCUCCCUUGGGAGCCCACCAACAGCCAUUCAGGCAGGGGUACAGCCAUGUGCUUGAUGGCAUGAGGAUUCACUUUCUGGGGAGAAAUUCAAGCGGUCAGCUCUGCCUUUUUUACCAUUCAACACACACUUCUGAGCUGAAUAAGCCCAAGUAUGGUGCCUCUAAGAAAGUGAAGUGCAGCGGUAUCUCAGAAGCAUCCGGAGGUAUGAGAAUAUAAUUUAAAAUUCUCAAAUGCUUUAUAAAUACUUAUUUACUUAUAAGAGUUCUCCAGAAUCCAAUAUUUUCGUCUGUCUGACAAAAUAUUUUGAGUCAUAUUCACCAAAAUCUGACGAUAGAAAUUCUUAACGUUUUUCAUUUUCCUUAAAACUCGUAGAGAUCUCCUUUGAUCUGCUGUAGUGUUUUGCAAAUGCAGUCAGUCUUUGGAGGGCUUCUGACAAACCUUCUCCCGUGACAGCACAGCAGGGCUGUACGUACCAAUUUCUGUCACAGCAGUACUUCUUCACGUGGAAUCUCCUGGUUAUUUCUUCAGCAUUUAAAGCUCCGGGCAAAUCCUGCUUGUUUGCUAGCACGAUGACCGGUACGUUUUUUAUAGAUUCAUUCUUUAAAAGGAGUUCAAAUUCUUUCUUUGAUUCCUCUAAGCGUUGCUUAUCAGCGCUGUCCACAACAUACAGGAGUGCUUCUGCAUUUUCCAGGAAAUUGCACCAACGCUGCCUCAUUUUCUCUUGUCCUCCAACAUCCCAAAAAGUCAGUGUAAAAUCUUUCCCAGUUUCGAUCAUAUCGACAUUAAAGCCGAUUGUUGGAAUUGUUAGAAAAACUUCAUCAGACUUGAACUUGUACAACAGAGUAGAUUUCCCUGCAGAAUCAAGUCCUAACAUCAGUAUAUUAGCUUGUUUUACUUUGGAGUGCUUGGUGAUCUGGAGGCCCAUUUGUGCCGUGGUUUCUGUAUUAAACCUUUAAAGGCGGAAUUCGCUGUCUUCUGUGGAGCCAGUUUUUAUCAGUACGACUUCUUUCUUCCUCCGUCAGAUGGAGCACAAAGAGUAAGGAAAAGGAAGUGGAAGCAGCUGCUUUGUGCUAUGAAAACUGGUAGAUCUACAUUGGGCCAACCUGAUUAUACUGAGUGCUUCAGUACUUGUUUGGCCUUACACCUAGAUGGACUCGGAAGGGUCAGGACAUUUGUCUUUGCUUCAGAAAGUCCCAAAUCAGCAAAAGGAUGCAAAGGUCUUCUGGCUAAAUAAGCUGCUGACUGAUACGGGUAAUCGUUCUGGUACUCAUGACGUGGGGUUGCCCUGAUAUUACACAUUGAGCAAAGUAAACCUUGGUCUUGACAGGCAAGUUGUAAGCUGGUUUUGCUUGAAGCUAGAGGGGUUAUACCAGAACUAACUGGGGGCAACAGAAGAUGACAGUGCCAUACUCACUUCUGUACAUUUUUUGUAUUGAAUAUCACACGUAUAUUCCGUAUAGGAUUUCUUUCAGGAGAAACCAUGGAAGAAAGUAUUAGUGUUUCUUUAUAAAUAAUGCAUAUGAAUGAAUUGAAAGAUGGGGAGACAAGCAACCGUGCAAAACUCGUGAACACAGCCAAACAAUUCACAAUCCCCUGCAAAAUAGCACACCACUUCCACAACGUGUGGGCACAACCUCCGUGGGAGCUGCGGCACUAUGGGGGAUGUAUUCUGGGUACUGCUGCGAUUCCAGGAUUACUUUCCAUUCUCUAUAUAUUUUCUUCAGCUGCAUUCCAUAUUUAUGGUCUCAGCAGCUGUGUUAUUACACCUGACUAUCACUUUAAAGAAACGAUUAAGCAGCAUCAGACUUUUUACAAACGAACUACACGUGUUCCUGGCCAGAACAGCUUGUUUCUGAGGGCUCCGUGCUUCUGCAGUUGUGCAGGAGGGUCCGUGCUCAGCCAGGCGCUCCAGCCGUGCUCACAGGCUUCGACCUGACCGAGUUCACAACGUGAGCAAGGCAGCAAAACGCUGACACAGAGCACAGCAUCCACGGCGGGCACACCGUGAUUCCACCGCAGCCCCAUCUCUCGCAGCCCCACCUGGACACACUGAAAUGCCACGCACGGAUCUGCAGCCGGCAACGCUCGCACGCAGGUCGGCUGUUCAGCGCCGUCAGUCAGCACAGCAAGGCGAGCGUGUGGGAACGGGAGCGGGCCUUACGGGUGUCCAAAGCUCAGCAUUCUGCUUGUGCUCACUCUGGGAUACAGUAUCGAUUCACGUGCAUAGGAUGCUACAUGUAACAGCUGGGCCAAUGACUCUCGGGUUUGUGUUCCUCAUUAUAGCACAAUUUAGCCGACACGCUAAGAAAAAGGUACUGCUUGAACAAUAGCAUUCUGAACACUACUUUUUCGUUUCUUUUUCAGUAAGAGGCGUACUUCAGAACUGGUACAAAUUUUGAAGGCUACUGACAUACUUCUGUAAAUCUGUUACUGCCCAGUUCCAGUUAGUGUCAUGCAUAUGAUCCCAUUAAAAUGGAUCUUUUUCUUUCUUCUUGUAUUUUCUGUUGUCACCAUGUGGUACAUUACUUUUUCUUCAAAUGUUGUGGUUGAACAUGUGAACAGCAUGUAUUUCUAUGAGUAUGAACCAGUUUACAAGCAAGCCUACCUCUUCACAUCGCAUCAACACUUGAAAUGCAAAGACAUAAAUCCAUUUCUGGUCAUCUUGGUGUCUUCGAGACCUAAGGACGUGAAGUCAAGGCAAGCCAUAAGGAUAACAUGGGGAUCUAACAGCUUCUGGUGGGGACAUCGAGUUCUAACCCUGUUCUUACUAGGUCAGGAAGCGGAAACAGAGGACAAUUCCGCAGCACUCUCAGUAGAAGAUGAAAUCAUACUCUAUGGUGACAUAAUUCGCCAAGAUUUUAUGGACACUUACAACAAUCUUACCUUGAAAACAAUCAUGGCAUUCAGAUGGGUGGCUGAAUUCUGUUCUAAUGCUAGAUUCAUCAUGAAGACGGAUACCGAUGUCUUCAUCAACACUGGUAACUUAGUAAAGUUUCUUCUGAAGUUGAACUCCUCAGAAAGCAUUUUUACAGGUUAUCCUCUUAUAAGUAACGUUGCUUAUAGAGGCUUUUACCAAAAAACAUACAUUUCUUAUGAUGAAUAUCCAUUCAAGUUUUAUCCCCCAUACUGCAGUGGAAUGGGCUAUGUAUUGGAUGGAAAACUGGCUCUGAGGAUUUAUGAACUGAUGGGUCAUAUCAAACCUAUAAAGUUUGAGGAUGUUUAUGUUGGAAUUUGCUUAAAUAUACUUAAGGUGAACAUCAGUAUUCAAGAAGGUAAUCAACAAUUCUUUAUUGAUAAAAUUGAUUUUGAUAUCUGUAAGUACAGACGCUUGAUUGCAGUCCAUGGCAUUACGCCAAGUGAAAUGAUCAGGUUCUGGAAGGAUUUGUCAUCCAUCAUUUCAGUCACUUGCCUUUGAUUCUGUACUAAUAUAUUGAUAAAUGUAAACUUGUAUCACUUAAAACUUUGAAUUCCAGUGUAAAAAUGUUGAACUGAAGUACAGGGCAACACGGAACAAAAACAGGUGUUAAGAUGACAUUGAUUGAAAGACAACUGUGCUGCAGCAGCAGAACUGUGAUUGCAGCAUUCCUCUGGGAUCCGCUGAGGCUCCCGGUACCUUUAUUUAGGAACUCACAGAGCACAUUUCCAUGUGCGUAUCCUAUGCACAGAGCGUACAUGGAAUGCGCUGCACUCUCUUGCUUUGACCCUUCUCUGUGCACUCUACUGUAACCAUAGGAUGUCUGCCCAAAUCUCCUGGAACUCGUUAAGUAUCACUGAAGAAUAAUGUUUAUGUCAAGAAAUGAGCUGGGAAGAUGGUUCUCACAUCACUACUUAAUGAUAUUUCUUUUGGUGCGUUUGUGAACUGCAUAAUCCUUUGCCAGCCUCAAGUAUUUGUUCUCUGCACAGCACAAAAUUUGGAGCUACCUUCUUAUUUAAAUGUAUCACCUCUGUCCUUCUUCUGGGAGCUUUACAUCUUCUCAUUUAAACAGUAUUCAAAUGCAUGUAUAUUUAUAGUCUGUGUUCAAAUGUAUGUAUAUUUAUAUACAUGCAAAAUAGAAUUGUUUUGAUGUCUUUCAGGUAGAACUGCUAAUGCUCACAGGCCGUUAGAGAGCUAGAUGCAGAAGAGUUGACGUGCAGUGCAGGGCCGCUGGCUGCAGUAGGAGCUCUGCACAAGAGUCAUGGAUGGUCCAACAGACCCUGCGCGUUGAGGCUAAUUGAAGUUGCAAGAGUAAGUGCUAAAAAGCUUGUUCUACAAAUAAACUCUGGAAGGCAUCGGAAAGAGAGCUGCAUUAUUAAGAUGAAGGCAGAAAGAGAGCAGGUAAGUAGCAGUACCCGUCUGCCAUGCGGUACGGGACAGCAGUGCUGUCGGUCUGUGGGAGGGAGCACCACGUGCAGGUACAGAGUAUUGCAGGAGAGUACCAAUGGGCAUUUGUGCAGAAUGGAGUGGAAUUUAGCAUUUGAGGUCAGCUCAUUAUCUACCUGAACAAAAAACAUUAAAUGUUUUGGAUAAAUGGUUAGAAGUUCUGCUUCUAUAAGAAAACUACAUGAAUAAAUGGCACCCCACUUUGCCUUUAUUUAUGAAGCUUUUCUCCGUGGUUGUUCAAGCAGCACCCUGAUCACAGUGGCACUCUGUGGCUGGCACCUGCUGAAGGCACUCUGACUCCUUGUCUAAAUUUCUGAGAGAAAAUGAACGGCCAAUUUUGCAUUUCUGACUGAAACCCAAACCUAUGAAGUGUUCCAUGUGGGGAAUACAGUCAUUAUUACAGCCCCAUGUAAAAAAUGAUGAUUUUGAAUACAGUCUUCUGGUUGUAUGAUCUGUGUGUACGAAGGAGAAUGAGAACUGAGCCAGAAGAGCAUCCCCAGAGUGCUGGGUGCGGUGUGCAUUGCCUCAGCCUUGGCAGCAGCCCCUGACUGAUGGCAGGCUGUGUCAGUCCCCGACCUCAUGGUGCUGCCUGCCACUGCAUGGAAAAGCAAACUUCUCUUUGUUUGCUUCUCCACCUAUUUUUAUUUCAGUCAUUUAACCUUGUGCAGAGUUAGAAACCAUUGCGCACUUGUCAGUUGCCUCAGAUUUAAUGCAAUUGCACAAUGGAAAAUUCCCAACAUAAAGGGUCCAAAAUGGAGAACACAUGUUAUAUUGGUCCCUUGGUGCAGCUGUCUGAAUAAUGUCCUGCUGAGCAGUUAAAGAAGGAAAUCACCAGGAAAUUUAAAACCUGUGGAAUAUUGGCUGCAGAGAUGCAGUGUAUAUUUGGUUUGCCUUUUGUGUUGUUUUUUUUCUGAGUCAGGUAAGAUUGGUGGUGUUAUAUUUUAGCAUCAGCCAAGGUGCCUUAUAGAAGUCAGGGCUGCACCAGCUACACUGGUUUUUAAGGUACCUGCUAUAUCAAAAUGAGGAAAAGGAAGUGAUAUAGAAGUGAGAUAAAAAGAGGGGAAAAGAUUCCAUCAGGAGAUAGAAAAAAUGGAAAAAUAAAGGUACAGAAGUAGCUGGAGGCACAUCUGUAAUCAGCAGAAGGAGGAUGCCAUGAGGCAGCCAGGAUGAGCUGCAGGUGAUGCACACAAAGGGCAGGGAGCCUUUUUAGACCAAAACAAGAGCUAAAGCUAUUCUAAGGCCUGGGCUAAGAAGGGAGCGAUAAAGAACUGAGGCCUGGUGAACAAAGCACAUCCAUCAUGGGGCGACAGGCGCACGGAGGUAGGCGAGGACAGAAGUGAAACAAGGCAGCAGCAUAGCCAGGGCUGCAGCUGCCCUGGAUGGCAGAAGCUGACUGAAAUUCCCCCCCUGUCCCCAUCUCAUCCCACUCCAUCAGUAGAAGUGCAGUACAUCUCCCAGGAGCUCACCAAAUCCCCACCUUUCUUCUCUGCCCUCUCUGCUGAGUUUCCUUUCUCUCUUCCAGGCACUGUCUGAUAUCUCAUAAGAGAACACGUGUAAGCUGGUCCCUUGCUCUUCCUCCUUUUCACACUCUUCUACCUGGAAUUUUUGCCCAUUCCUCCUUUGUAAAAAGUGACACUGCUAUAUGCCCUUACCCCAGGCUCUGAAACUGCCACAGCUCCAGGACAAGGAGCUUCCCCACAGCUCUCCCAGACAACUGCACUUCCCACGGGUGCCUUCCUACCUCCUCUUAGCAUGCUUCUUCCAGUCCUCCUCCACCUCUGUGAUCUUUGCACACAGAGAAAACUGGAACAUUAGACUUCCACAUCUUAUGUUUUAGUCAUGGCUUCCCCUUUUGCAGAACCUCCCUCACACUAUAUACAUCGAAGUUACUUGUCUGCUGCAUUCCCAACCAGGUAACUUAAGCUUCUUUUUCCAUUGUCACCUCAUCCCUAGGCCUCUCUGUCUCUUUCCUCUUGCAACACAAGCCUUCCUUAGUAAUGCCCCUUUCUAAACAAAACAUCAUUAGCCUUCAUGUGUUUUAUGGCUGCCACUUCCUUUUCUAUCCAUAAGCUCACUGAACAUGCUGUUCGUAGUCAUUGCCUGGGGUGUUCUUUCCCUCCAGCUCUGCUCUACGUUCUCUCCAGCAUAGCCUCUGCCUCAGGCUCACCACUGAAACAGCUUUUGCCAAGAUCUUAACAACGUUCUCAAGCUGAAGCGGAGACAGCCAUCUCUUCCCAUUCCUCUUAUCUGCCUCCGGCACAGCCAGCUCAGCGCUUCUCGGCAGAUGAGAUACUUCUUCUUUCCUAGUUUUCACCUUUGCUUCUCUAAUCACAAACAUCUCUCUCCCAGCACAGUCUAUGAAGAUGCCUUCAUCUCUCUUCUCUCUUGUUUAACACAGCUAUGAUAGUCUUUGACUCCCUCUCCAUAGGCUUUACUCCUAUGAAAUCUCAUCCGCAAACACAGACAUCACCAGCGCUUCCAUACAGACCUCCUGACCUGCUUCUCUGUCCCAGAGGGGCUUCUUCUCAACUAAAGGCCACCCCAUUUGCUGCACAGAUCCUGAUCCCGUACCCAGCACCCUACUGGCCAGCGCAGCCCCACUGUGUCCCUCAGCCUGCUCUGUGCCACCAGUGGAACCACACCUGGAGCUGCCCUGGGUCGCUGCGGGGCAGUGCAGUGCAGGACACGUGCUGUCUCAGCCCCACUGUCCAAUGCAUCCAGUGUGGGACUGCAGGGCAUGCUCAGCUUCAUCUCCACCACACAGGAAAACAAGAAAAUUGGCAGGAUAAUGACCUCAAUAAUAGAGACUGUGAGCAUUAUCUUUGGAGAGGCCAACUCUGCCUCUUAAUGUUUGGCCAAAAAGCAUUAAACUCUAGAGGGCUAAAAGCUACAUUAAUUCCCACACAAACAGGGCUUGUGACAGGGAGUUUGUAUUCAGCUGAAGUGUUCAUUAUAGAAAAUGAGUCUAAUCUCAUCUCUGGAAUUGUCCCCACCUCCUUUUCCUGCAGCUCCCUGCGAGGUGCGCAGGGCCAAGCAGGCUGCACGCCAUGCAGGCACGUCCUUGGGUCCCCUCAGCACUGGUGUUUCCUACAUGAGCUGUACCUGCCUCUUCUGCAGGGCAAUAAACUGCUUUGCAAAAGUCUGCUCUGUACAGCACAGACCUAAAAAGAACCAUUCUGACAAAUGCAAGAUGUCUCAGUUUCUUAAUCAGCUCAGUGUAACACUUUUUUCCCAAGAUUAAAAGACUGCCAUCUUUUAAAAGAGAUUAAAACAAACAUAAUUCUUAGAAAUAUAUAGAAACUACUUCACAUUCAGUUUCUAAGAUCGUAGCUUAAUUCCCAUCAUGAAGCAAUUCCUACAUGACUAUGCAAUACUACUUCAAGUUUUUUCAGUCCCUUCCAACCUAAAGUCAUUCUAUGAUUUUAUCAUAUGAUGUAUCCUAAAAGCUGAUUUCUUGGCAUUGCUCCUAUAUUCAGUUUCACCUUAACACCACUCAGCAGUUGAAUACAUCAGAAGUAGAAAUAUAUUGAAAACAUUUUCAUUUUUUUUUCUGGCUAGAAUUUUUUUCCCAGAUUCUUUUAUAUCCACUAAAAAUCUUCUACAGCUUUAAGAAGUUUUGCAUCACAGUUGCUUUCUGUGCAGAAAGAUGACUGCAUUGUCACAUAUGACUUUUACUGAUAAUGUCAAUUUAAUCAGAAGCGUCAGGCUGCCCUUGGGAUUCCCUGCUUCUGUGUCCUCUCCAUGCGGGGCUGUUUGCUAACUCUCCUCUCCCACGUAGUUUAGAAGCCAUCUCUCUUCUACCUGCCACCAACAUUUAACAAAGGCUCUAUUUCAUCUUGCACACUACACUGCCGUCAGGACAUGCGGGAGCUCUCUGCAGCAAGGUGUAAGGCAGAACCAGGCAAAUCCAGCACUUGAGAGCAGGAGGACACAGGGAUAUCUGGGCAGAGCACGUCUGCACCAGCAGUACUGGUAUGCUGGCACUGGCUUGCAAGACAAACCAAACCUCCCAUUAGAGACCAGAGCUCCAGCCCUCGGGUUUGUGAAGGAUAAGGUGGCUGUGGCACAAGCAUCACUCAGGUUGCUGCUGAUCUCACUGAGGACUGCUGUAAAUACCUGUCAUGCUCUUCAGCUGCCUCCAAGGCUCCUGCAUGACAGAUCGCUCACAUUAACUCCUGAACAAAUAAGAAACUUAUUAGUGCACAGAGAGAGCUGUGCAGCAAGGAAGUAUUUAAGAGUUAUUUAUUCUGUGCCCGAGGCACAUCUCAAAAUCAGAAAAACAAACAUGCUCUCUGUCCAAAGGGAUUACACUCUGACUCUGUAUUUCACGUGCUGGCAGAAGACUGGGAGUAAGAACUGGAGGAAGAAAGGGAUGGGAGUGACAGUGCACCAGAACCACGGGCGGGUUAAGAGGUGUCACGAAGAGAGCCCCUCGCCAAACCUGACACAGAAGGUACUGAGCUGAGAAUGCAGCUGAAGUCAAGCUGGUGACUCUUCCCCUCACCAAGUUAAUCAAACUUGGAGACCAAUCAUCUUCCAGGCCAAAAGUUACCUCCAGCUGUUCUAUUUUCCUCCUACAUCCUCUUCUGCAGAAGCACCAAGCUGGUGGACAGGCCCAGACAAACACACAGCUUCCAAAGACACCCACAAACAGCUGCAGCCAGUGCCUGCUGCCUGUGAUUGCAGAGCUGCACAGAAAGCAUGCAAACGGAGGAAGCAAAAAGCACAGAGAUUGCCCAAACUCAGCAACCGCCUCUAUUAGAAAGGUGUUACACUUGUUUAUAGCCAACUUCUUUACCUUAAUGGGUUGUUACAGAUUAUGGAUGGGGUUUUUAAGAGAGCUGUGCUUGAGAACAGAAAGCUUUCUUUUCUUCCUGCUCCCUUCUCCUCCUACAUGCAGCCAUGUAUAAUUCAGACACCGGGAAAUAAUGAAAAAGGCUAACAGUGAUUGAUUGUGGCGUGCAAUGCAGUUGUGCAUGCAAAGCAGGGAUUAGCACAGGCUGAACAAUGCUGCAAAUAAGAGCCCAAGGACAUGACAGAAAGAUGCAGACAGGAGUGUAAGCGAUCUCUUGAAACACAGCAGCACCCUCAGACCAUAAAUCUGUGUGCAGGUGCAUGUGCUUGACAUUAUUAUAAUAUAUUUUCUUCUCAAUGAUUCUCCCACUGAAAUGUUUUCAAAAGAACCUAAAUAUUAGGUUUUUUUGCACAUUACAUGGCAAUAGUAGGAGCAAUGAGGCUGAAGAGAUUCAUUUCAACACAGAGAUCCUGCCAUUGCAAGUGUAAUGAAGGGUUUUGCAAAGGUGUAACUGCUACUGAUUUUGCGCUGCUCUGUCCUGCUACAGCAAUACUGUUUGGGUAACGAUGUGGGAAGAUUUAAUAAGGAUCUCCAAAGGGUCUGCCAGGCUCGUAGGUAGAACAAACUUUGCCUCCAGGCAUCUCUCUUUGCUCCCAUCAGCAGAUGACAAAGCUCCAUUAGCUGAGAGGCUUUCUCCCAGGGGCCUGCAACUGAUGUCCUCUCUGCAUGCACUGAAUUUCAAGCAAACUGAUGUCUUCGAAUGCUGUCUUGAUAUUUCUUAAAUAAAUUAAAAACAAAAACAUAAAUCUGUGCUGAUAUAUGUCUCACCAUGCAACAUAUGCAUCUGAUGUUGAAGAAACACACUGCAGAACCAACAGCAAGCACCUCCAGCAACAAUGCAUGUCAACUGAAGAGAAAGGUUUUCAAAAGAAAUCUAACACAAACUUUCACAAAGUGAGCCUCAAACAAGGGCUUUAAUUCUCUGCAUUUUCUGCAUUUUAAUUCUUAUGCAUUUUUUAAGUCCUUCAUCGGCCAAAAAUAGAAUGAAGGCGAAGCGAUCAGGCUGUGAUAAAGCAGUGUCCCUCACAAAGUCCUCACACAACCUUUGCACUGCUCCUCAGUGCACAGGCCUGAGCCGACUGUCACAGCUGAGGGGUGAGUUGAGCAAGCAACUGAAAACAAGUCUAUGCAUUGAAGAUGCUCUCUGGACUUAACUGAUACGCACUCAGAGAAAGGAAUUAAAUCCAAAUGCUCUUUCAACAUACUCAGCACACCAAGCCAGGAAUUUCUGUUGUAGCUGAGUCAUUCUUCCUUUACUUGUGGUUUUUUUUGGGCACGGGCAGCAGAAGAAUUCAAUGCUGACACAUGCUCUCCCUACAGGAAAGUCCAUCCCAUGCAAUUGGAUUGCAAGUUUUCAAAGACACCUUGUGAAGUGGGAAAGAGAAUAAGGUCACUGAUGUGAUACUGCUGCCUACGUGGUUUCAAAUCCACAAAUGACUCUCCUCUUACACCCUUAAAUGCCCACAGUCUGCAAGGCUGUGUUGGUCUCACCUCUUUUUGGUGGAACUUAUAUUGUGGUAGAACGUUUAAUUCUUUUUUUUUUUUUUAAUUGCCACAAAUGUAUAAAUGCCAAAGAGAAGAUGACUUUCAGUAGCUGAAUAUCUGCUAAAAAACUCAUCAGGAAGGGAGGGAUAUGUCACACACAAGUAGGCACUUACCUGUCAAAGUGCUAUUUCUGCUCUGAGAUUCUGCUGAGAGGUUAUAAUUACAUGCAUUACAAAAAAUUACUUUAACUGGAGAAAAUAAUGCGAUGCACUGGGCAGACCUAACUAAUACACCUGUUGUUUACAAACACUGUCAUUGUUUUAGGAAUUGGAGAGACCACAGGGCACUGUAUGAGCUCAUGUGUAGGAAAUGACAGUCACAUAGCUUCUGCUGGAACGUACACCAAAAUGUGAUUUAUUUUAUGGGUACACUUACAGAGAUGUUUCGGCUCCCAGCCGGAGCUGUCUACCUGUAUUCACCUGUGAGUAAAAGCUAAUUCAUAGCCCAUGGAAAAGAGGGGGCACAUUUAGGAUAUGACUCUUCACAUACGUGCUUAAAAUAAAGGCAUAAAUUCCCCAGAACCUCCAGUUUCUCCCUGCUCGCUACUGAAGAGCUUUAGAAAAGUGGCCCAGAAUUUGAUGUCUCUUAUGCACAUAUGAACAGCUACAAGGGAGAAAUCCCACUCGAGGUGAUGGCCCUGUGGGUUUUGCCAGGGCUAUUGGUCUGCUGAGAUACAGAGCUCUGGCUCAUCGCAACCAGAAUCAACAUGCAGUUCUAAUGAGUAAAAAAUUAAAUAUGCCAAGGGAAGCAUUGACCAUAAGGCAGUGAUUAUACAGAAGUAAUCAUCUGGCUAUAAAGGGUAAAAAUCGUUCUUACUGUAUUAUUUGGAAAAGGCUCAGUGCUGAAUUGACAUUGACAGCAACUGAAGAUUGAAAGAAUGUUGUUGGUUUAGAUCAUUAUCUUGAGAUUAAAUAUCUAAAACUCACUGAAAAAUGAAACCUGAGCCUGAGAGAAAGCAAACAGCAGCAGUGGGCUCAGAGCUCAGAGCGGUGGACUCAGCCGCAGAGCUUCAGUCUCCGUCAGAAGGAAGUGCAGCAGUAACCGUUGUCCUGACAGACUCGAGCAAUGUUAGUCACACGUCUGCUGUGUCAGUGUGUUUACAACAAAUGGGAAAAUGAAUUCACUAGAUUGCUACAACGCUGGCAAAUGGUGCUCACAACAGCACACAGAAACCCUGUCCCGUUUCAUUUCUUGAGAUAAUGGAAAUGCCACUCACAGAGCCAUCCUUUGCCUGCACAUGCCCUUUCUUCAGGAAAAGGCAUUGUGACUGGCAUUUCUCUUCCCAGCAGCUUCUUUAUUGCUCUCUCCUUUUUGUCCUUGGAUAUUCUGUGCAAUCCAAUGCCUUUGCAAUGGUUGUGUUUAUUGUAUUUAGUGCAUGUCUUUCCUCCUUGCUCUUUAAAUCCCUUCUGAAUUGCUGCACACUCCACCAAGACGCUCAGUCCUUUCGGAAGCUCAGGUCAUUUUGUGUGUGGCACAGUUGUGUGUCACUGCAGGCUGAGGUGAGGGAUGUCUGGCAGCACAGUGUGCCCAAACUCUGACCCCAGGGAGGGCUGUGGUGAGACAGGGUGAGGAAUGUCCCCAAGCCCCUGCUCCGCUCAGGCAGAGCUGAAGCUCCCAGUGAGUAACCACUGCUGAACCUGGGCGCUGCAUUUCCCCAAAGACCACUCCCUGUGCAGAAGGGACCAGCCAAACACGUGGCAGAAACACACUCCCAGCAUUUUCAGACCUUUUUCUUUUUUUAAAAAUAAGGUAGCUAUAAGCAAACCAAACAGAUUUCUUCCUACAUUUUUAAUGGCUUACUCCUGUGCACGAGCUGCCUUGCAAUGAACGUCACAGCAAAGUUAACUUCCUUUAGUUUUGCUGUGAUGUAGAAUAAUGAUGGCAUUACCUGAUAAAGCUCUUUUUUCAGUGGGAAGAAAGGAUUUUCUCCAACAAGGUAUUUAUUAUCCCUGUAUAGGAUAUAUAGCUUACUACAGUGUCAGGCUGCAGUCCUGAAGCAAAUCCCAAAGCCUGAAUCCUGCAUUCAUGCUCAGAACCACUUCUCACAGCUGCAGCUACAGAAAAAAAACGGUGUUCUGUGAGGCACAGAAAUACAGGCUGAGUAAGAGGAGUCCAUUUCAUUCAUUAUCAAUUCAUUACCUGCUAACCCCUGCAGGGAUGGAGGAGAGGACAGUGAUACACUGCGUGAUUCUUAGCGGAGCACAACACGUGGGCAUGUUUGGUGGAGGCAGAGCACAAACCUCAUCUCACCCAAAGACAGACUGCCGUGUGUCAUAGUGCUAAUGCACAGAUUAUCUCAGCAGCAAAUAAAUUUUGUUGCUAAGAUUGGAGUAUUCAGGCAAUUUGGGACGUGAUUUGCUGGUAUAAAAAUACACUUUAAGAAAAUAAACUGCUGUUACGAGCAAUUUCACUUACUCAGAGGCACUGAAAGUGGGUUGGAGGAGGAAAAUGGGACUGAAGUACUGAAACCUAAGCUCCCCAUGACCAAAAAGGCUGUAACAGCUCUCUGUGCCAGCAUGGGCUCCCUUUGGUGUGCUCCUCCUGCCCUCUGUGGUUCCCUCUUGAGCCCUGAGUCAGCCCCAGCCCCGCAGCAGUGCCAUGCUCCAUCUCCUUCGGGCUCACCCUAAGCCACAAAACUGUGGUGUGGAUGUGGUUCCCCAGCACAGGGUGAAGCACAGCGCAGCCCUUGGAUACUGGCAGUGCAGGGAUGAGCUCUGGGUCCCCUCAGGGAGGGUGCACUGAGCAGCGGCCACCUGCUUUGCGUGGAAACACGGGAUGUGCUGGUAACCACUGGCUAAGGAAGCAUUUUUGGAGCUGACUACUGGCUGCAAUCAAUAUCUCUCACCACAGCUUCACGGCAGGGAAAAACGAAAUUCAUCUCUUUUGUCACUCAGUAAUGAAACUCAAUUUCUACAGGACUUCGGCAGAGAGGGGCCAUCCAUUAGAGAGAAACCUGUGAGGUCAGGAGAGCCUCCUGCAGACUGUAGCUAACCAGCACACACAAGUUCAACGCCAAAGUGCCUUUCGGUGCCCUAAAUGUCCAUUUAUGCAGAGGAGUCACUGACCAGCCCAGACAUUAAGGUGCUGUAAAUGGAAGGAAUAGGAUUAACAUCCAGUAAAGCUUCAGCAGAGAAGAUAUUCUUGCACAAAAUUAACCCAGCCAUAGCUACUCAAGAAUGCCACUUUUUAAACGAAGGGAUUUAAAGAUUACGAGAGGAUUUGUAUCCAUCUGUCACAUUUGGCCUGCUUUCAUUGUACAAAUCUUGCUCAGUCAAACUUCACUAAGAAUCCUGUCAGCAGCUGCCUAUUUUUAGAUGAACUUGCUUUAUUUGGUAGUUUCAAUAAAAUGAUUUCCUAACAGGGAAGAUUUACAAAAAGGGGCAUUAGAACAUUGAGUCCAUCGAAGCUCCACUUUAUUAAUAUUUGCAUGCUGUGCUACAAAGGCUAAAUUAAUGUGCACAGUCGUACUGUUUUAAUCCAGCAAAUGGAUGUAGCAGAAUUCUACACACACACACACAAAAAAGCCUUUGCAGCCCACAAAAUGAUGGAGUUAGGAUACCUAACCAGAAAAAUUAGCUUCGACCCAUUUUGACAAGUGCUUUUCUCUCUAGUGCACCUAUAAGUACAGCAUUUAAGUACAAUAUCCACCAAUUUUUCUUCAAAGAACUCACUGAUGGAAGAAAAGAAGGUGGAAAAUGCUCUCCUGAGAAGAGAGGACUUCAGAACCAUUUUGGAGAUGGCUGAAGCAAAACCCAACCAGGCUCUGGGUGCCACCACCAAGGCAAGCAUCCCGGCCAGCAACACUGCCCCGCACCCGGGAUGGGUUUUGUUGAUGGCUCACAUCAGCUCCUGUCAGACAAAGCCGUGUUUGCCCCUUACACGAUAAUCACGGGUAUUUCACUAUUUUGAUUUUAAAGACUGCUUUCCACUUUUUGUGUUUACUGCCAGCAGCUUCGUCUUCUCAUUAAAUAGAUUUUGAUAAGGAAAAAACAUUAAUAAAAUACAUCACCAACACAACAGGUCUGAGACUGAACAGUCUGAAUAGCUGGAGAGCUUGGAAUCGCGAACAUCUGCUGCAGUGGCCUCAAUCAGCACAUUCUGUGUGCUCAGAUCACAAUCAGAUCUUCCUUCAAGAGCAGGUAGCACCAGUUGUAUGGUUUUAGUGAACAAGUGAGAUGAUCAGACUGAUGAGCCUCUGCCAUCUCGCUGUUUUAACCUCUAGAGGUAUCUCUAGCUGAUGAGCAGACUCAAAUUCCGGCUUUUAAUUUACAGAGAGUUGCAUCCUCUCAGUUUUGAAUGCUGUGACUUUACCAAAAUGCUUAUUUACAUAGCUUUGCAUUUCUGCAUGAUUGCUUUAUUGUAUGAUAUAAAUCUCCAAGUGUGUGUUUGGAGCAGUUUAGUCUUUAUUUUCUCUGUACAAACGUGCAGUUUUCAAUAAAGGAAAACGCUAUCUUUUUCUCCUCACAGAGGUUGGUAAUUUUCUCCACUGUUUUCUUCCUUCCUAACAAACUUCAAUCAAUCAAAAUGACUGAAGAGAUGAAGUGACCAAAUCAGCGUGACAGCAAAGGAUCUACACUGUUCACUGGACUGGUAAAUCCUCUGUUGAAAUAUAAGCAGAAGCAACAGAAAGCGACAACUUUAAAAACCUUAUUUUUUAAGCAUCAUUAAAAACUGGAUGAAAACGCGAUGAAAAAUAUAGCCUGAGCCCCUGGUUUAACUGUGCUGUCCUUCAAGAACUCCUAUGACGCACAGCUCCUUAAGCACUACACGUACAGUCUGCAAAGGCACUGCAAGUUGCUUGAGAGCUUCUGAGAUCAAAGCAGUUUAGGAGAAUGAGGCGCAUUUACUGGGUGAGUGUGUGAAAGGAACUGAUGAAUUAACAGAGCAUUGUAAUUGCUUCAAGUCACUAAAGCUCACAGCCCUGCAAGUACCCAGAACAGACACUGCACGUGGCAUUUUAAGUUGCUUGAGCAUUUGAGAUAAAAGACAUUGAUAGUGAGCAGGAGUCUCAGCAGGAGACUGAGUAUCCAAGUGUUCUGAGUAUUUCUCAGCACUGCAUUGUAAGCACAAAGUGACACCACAAAACAAUACAAGCUUGUCAAUGCUCGCUUUUCCAGAGCUGGCCUAAGGCUGAGAAGCCAGGGGAUGAUUAGUAUAGCAGUAUGGGAGGCUAUUUUGGAAGAUUAGCAAACACCAUCCAAAGCAUCUGUUCUUUUUCCUCUGUAAUCAUAAAGGAGACCUGGCAUCAGGACAACUGAUCCCAAAGCUGAAGGAUUCAAAAGCUAGGACACUUCUAACUACUUUCAAACUAAAUGCUAGCAAAAAGUAGUAGCUAUAAUUACAAACCCUCAAAAAUCUAGACUGUCACGACACAAUCAUCAGAGCCCUGUAACUGCACUAAUAAAAUGCCUCUGACAUUUUACCAGUAAUCUGUUCUUGUCUAUCCACAUGAUAGAAUCAUAGAAUGGCCUGGGUUGAAAAGGACCACAAUGAUGAUCAGUUUCAACCGCUCCCCUCAUCAAACAUUUAAAAAUCAGACUCUGUGACCACCCAGUCCAUGCUAAGUGAGCUCAAAAACAAGUUAGUUGUGAAGAAGAAUCCAGCAAUGUGCAAGACAUCCAUUUGACAAAAACAUUUUAACAGGCUUCACGAUCCCUUCAAAGACUGGAAGUGAGCAACUUGUUUUCAGUAACGUGACUUAGAAAGAAGUAAAGAUAUACCUGCUUCAUCAUAGGAUACAGUCAAUUUUUCCAGCAUUUCUCGAUCAAUUGAUAAAAUCUGCUGUUCCAGGAUGGUCUGAUAAGACAUCACACUGUUCUCCUUGUCCUUCUCAUAGUCCUGAAGAUGUUGUUUCAGGACUUCAGGCAGGCGGGACUUCACAUACUCUGCUGCUGACUAUGUAGAAAAGAAACAAAGGUUUAAUUAGCAUUUCUGCUUCUGAAAAGCUUCAUGUAUGUUCAUAGCAUUAUUAUUAGUAUUGUUUUCAGUUAAAGCACUAUCAAAUUCAAUAAUCCAUACAAUAGAAUACUCUUAGUACUACCAACUCUAUAGUGCUAAAAUCAACAGGUCAUUUCUCUGCCAAAAUUACCCUGUGUGCCCAGAACUCCCACGGAUGCAGGGCUAUAACAAAACAAGUUCCUCUGAGCAAACGCACAGUCCUACUCUCCAGCAGGAUGCACAAGUCAUGGCUUCUCCAUUAACAAUGUGCUGUUUUGAUUGUCCAUUUGAGAUGCUCCAUAAACAGCAAACUGAGAGACACAGAGUAACUCAAACAAAUCUCCUGCAUUCCCUGGGAUUGCCGUGGAGCACUGAUGUGUGAAUGGGAUUUAGGCUUUGAUGCUCAGGUAGCCUUCACGGCCCUCACCACGUGCCUUGUCAUCUAGUGCAGCGCUGCCAGUUUGUUACAUCUCUGCUGAUGAGCUCUGCCUACCUUUCGGUUCAGUACAGGAUCAUCAUGUAAUGUUUCCCACCCAAAAUAACAUAUAAAAACAGCAGUGAAAAUAUGUUAUAAAAAUAAAUUCAAUUUUCCUUCAGCAGGAAGGGUAUGGCAGUCCAGAAGAAGUUAACCAUGCUUGAAUAGGAACAUAACACAAUGCCUACAUUCCUUCAUCAUAAACCUACUUUGAAAAUAAUUUUUAAAGUAUCAAGAGACUGAAUGGAAUCCCUUCACCUGCUAUUGUUACAUAACCGGGUUUGGACACGGAGACUGCAGAUGUGUUACACAUCCACAGAGAAUUCGUGAUUGGUCACAGAGACAAAAAAUUAAGACCAUAAGAAAACAGAAAUUAACACAAGGUGGCAUGGUUGUACCAGUGUUACAGAGCAACACGCAGAAAGCGCACAGGGCAGUAAAUGAGAAGAGCAUCUGGCUCUGGACAGGUGCCCACUGCCAGCAUUGCUGCUGCAGCCACUCUGCGCGGGAUGAGGCACCAGCAGCUCACUGAGAAGAGAAAAAGGAUAAACACAACAUUGCUUCAGGCCUGGGACUGACCACAGCUUAGCCCUGCUCAGCAGCAUGCUCUCCUGGGUCUAUAUUUAGUUUUCCAAAGUCAAUGGCUGGUUAAAUCACAACCUUAAAAUAUCACUGAAGUUGUGUUCGAUUUAUCUGCAGGCUAAGCCAUGUGAGACGAAUGAAAUUAUUCUACAAAACCAAACAAACUGUCCACAUGAGUACAACAUAUUUGCUGUUACAGUUUAAUAGCUGUUUUCUUCCAAGGGAAGGCCAAAAGACACACUGUACAGUAAUUAUUUAGUCCACGUUCAGGCAUUUAUAUUUAAUGUUUGCUUUGAGAAGAGGCUUCAGUCUGCAGGAGGUAUUUUUGUGCUCUCCCACUGCAGCAAUUCCAAAGAGCAGAAAGCAGAAGAAGAGUUCAUACACAUUCAUUUUCCUGCGCCAUCUGAGCAAAUACAUGCACACCAGUGGCUGUAAACACUGUCACUUCUGACCCACAGACCUCACAACCUGAGCAAAAGCCCAGAGACAGAUGGAUGGGAGCAGAUGGGAACACAACCAGGACCAAAGGCGCUGGCUGUGAGGAGGCAGCCCCAGCGAGGCACCUGCAGCACAGGGCCGCCUUCACCGCUGACAUCAGGACACCCACAAUCCACCCAAGUGCCUUUUCCUGAGAUGCUCACAUUCCUAGAGCUCCUCCUGCCGUGCUUCAGGGGACGCUGUUGCACUGAGUGCUUGAAGUCAUUCCCAGCAGCACUCCUGACCCAGAAGGGAUACAUGUGCACCAGGGCUAGACAUUUCCAAACAUAUGUGCAGCAAUUACUUUCCCGCUGAAGUGUUACUCUGCCAAGCAGGAUACAGCCAGCCUGGAGCCCAGGGCUGCAGGUAGCUGGCACAGCCUCCAGCCUUGAAGGACAGCAAGCACAUGGGGCUGAGACUGAUCUGAAUAUGGAUUUGAAAAGAAUUCUCAAUAGAUUUUGAAACGUCUGCCUUCCAUGCCACAGCUAGAUACUGAGCUGUAAAGUAAUGACAAAAUGGAUACGAACUCCUCGGCAUUUACACCAAUUGCUUUUAAGGUAUUUCAUUCUACUAUCAUCUUACACACCUACCUACAGUGAAAUAACUUGAGAAUCACAGAGUCAUAGAAUCAUUAACGUUGGAGAAGACUUGCAGAGCUUAUUCACAAAAAGUCAAUUUGUUCUCCACAACCCUACAUGUAAAUCACAUCAGGAAAUGCUGAAAUCCCCCACUGUGUCUCAGUCAAAACCUCCAAAGCACCCAUAGCCCUUCAGCAAAUUACCAACAUUUAUAACCGAUGGGAAAUACUUAUUCUAAGUAUUUUCUUUCUUUCUUUCUUUUUUCUUUUUUUAGUUAUGCCAAGUGCCACCCUUUGCUCUGCUUUCUGAAGCAUCUCCUUCUGGGAGCUCCCUUAUAUGUGGGGAAGUAAAGGUCUACACUGGUUAAUUAACAAUGUCUUUGUGAAGCUACUUCAGGAGUCAAGUGGCAGCUUGAGCAAGAAGUCUCCUUACACAGUCACAUCUCACACAAAAGGAGCUGAAUAUUUGGUGUGUGUUAGAAAGAGCCACCUCUGUAAAGGAAAGUCUCAGCCUGGCCUCAGUUGUUUUACAUGCGUUCUGCAGGCUGCUGCAGCUCAACACUUCUCAAGUCUGGAAUUACCAAUCUGCUCAACCUGUAAAAUUCAGGCUUCUACCAAAGCAAACUCAUGGCUCCGCACAUUCCUGCCACCUGAAAUAUGUCCUCAGUGGAUGAGCAGCUGCCCCGUAUGUCCCACAAAGCUGUGUUGGUGGCCAAACAGCAAAUGGGGAUGUGCGGCCAGAGGGUCUGCAUCCAUCGGCACACCCGUGGGCAUGCAGGAGGAGACCAGAGUGCUCCAGCAUCAAAUGUGCCAAUGGAGAAACCAAAUGCUAAGCAGAUCCAUGGCUCUGUGAGAAAGGAGUGCUACAGACAACAGUGUGGGAAGAUGAGCACAAGUGCACACACAGGAGGUGGAGAAGCUAAGGAGAUGGAACAGCUGUGAGCCCUAACACAGACCUCCAGUGCAAAGAACGGAAGAUGAGGACUUCCUUGCCUGAGACCUGUGCUCCUCAUCGGCUGCAGUGAUUUACAGGGACAGGAGGGAAACUACAGAUGUCUGACCUUAAUACUCUUGAGACAAUUUGUCCUGUCUGCCUUGCUGCUGCAAGCAUCCACGGACCACAGGAAAAUACAGAUCCAUUUUAGAGAGCAGUACUGCUGGCAUAGCAUCUACACUGAAGGAUUAAAAACAAAAUCAAGAUUCUUUUGACACAUCUUUCUGCCUCUUCUUGUCACUGUGCUUGAAGGUCACAGGGUCACUACUACAUGCUUCAGAGACAACACAUCAGGAGUUGCUGGGCAAGGGCAGAGUUGCCAUUAUGGAAAAGGGGCACAUUGCUCACCUCCUGGUUCACCUGAGGGAAGGAUCUUGGAAGGAAGCACACGCACAGUCAGAAUGUAAUAAUGAGCAUGGAAACAAGUGGAGACUGGAGUAAAAAAUGACUUAAAGCAAGCCAAGGUGUCAAGAAAAGUUUCUGCAAGUCCAUUUGUAAUAAGAAAAAGACAGGCAAAUGUUGGUCUACAGCUCAGCAGAGUAGAAAAGCUUUUGACAGAUGAUGCCAUAAAAGCUGAAGUGUUUGCAGUCUCAUUUUGGCUACAGUAUGACUGCCUUUACUUUCCUGCAUUCAAGUGGCAAUUUAUAUCAGAGGAAGGUAACCAAAAUCACAAGACAGAAUAGGGAAAGAAUAUGUUAGGAAGUGUUUGUAAAGAUCAGGGUUUUCCAGCUGGCUGGGCCAGAUGAAAUUAGUUCAGCUGUAGGUGGCUGACUGAAACAAUUUCUUUAACAACUUCUGUCUUUGAAAAUUCACAGAGGACAGCGAGACACUAUUUGGAAAGGGCAAAUGCAGGGACUACUUUUAAAAUAGUAUAAAGGAAGAGAAGUGGAAUAACAGAGUAGGCAGUUUAACUUCGGUGCCUAAAAGUGGAAUGAAAGAUCAAAUGAUCCCUAUUAUGAGAAAGCAACAAGAACUGUAAGGCUCAGCCAGCAAAGUGCUUCUCCUGGGGCAUGCAGAGAUGCAGUAACGUGGUUCCCAUCAGUGCAGACUGGGGAGCAGCUCAAGGACUGCACCAGAAGUACUGCUGGAAAUAUGCAAUGCUCCCACUUGAGAUUUCACAUUCCACAUUUUAGACUAGAACUCCUUAGCAAGGAUACUUUUCAACACAUGUUUCUGGGCUAAUAUCUCAAAAUAAACUGAUAAACAAAACCUAAAAAAUCCACCAUACCACAAUUCAUUACACAAAGAACAGUGCCCUUAACUUGCUAGAUAUCUUACACUGAGAUGAGAAAAAAUGAGGUUGUGGACAAGAAAUGUAUUCCAGUCCAUCAGUGAUUUUUUUGCAGCAGUUUCCUGUUUAUUUCAAAAAAGUACACUACAAAAAUACAUUUUAAAUAAAUGCUUAUAUAUAUAAACUCAGAUUGCUGGGAUAAAAAACAACACCUCAAGUAAAUGAAGGCCCCCAAGUCAAUCUACCUGUGCGCACUGCCCUCUGGCACACAGCAGCCAGGGCCAACCAGGAGAGCUCCACCAGCACGUUCCUCGUGCUGUGCUCAAGCACAUUUAUUCCCACUUCACUAUAGUUACAAAUGAAGCUGCACAGCCCUAAACCUUUAAGAGGUGUUUUCGACAUCUCAAUGCUCUAUUGGGUGCUGACUGUACAUAGAAACGGUUACAGAACACUCUUUGGAUCCCUGCCCUGAUGAGAGCUUUGCUCAGGCCGAUGCCGCUCCUUCAUCAGCAGGAGCCACAAAUAACUCCCCUGAAGUCAGUGGAAUUUUGCUAUGCCAAACCCCUUGGACAAAGGACGUGAGUCUAUUAAUAGUUAUUCAGAAGGAAAACAUGAUAGCAAAACAUAAUCUACUCUCAAGAGGAUAAUGCAAGGUCUACAAAUGGCACUGGGAUGAACAUUUUGCCCUCUACAGCAAGGAACUAUUUAAAGAACAAACAAGUCAAAAGGAACUCAUUAGCAGUGUUUUCCCAUAUAAACUUCUGGUGUGCUUAGCCCUCUGUAUCUAUUAAAAAGUGUGCCCUUUUUUUCCCCCCUCAAAAAUGACUAUUCAAGCCAAUAACUUGCUACUGGUCAGUAAGUGUCCUAGGAAAGCCAAGCCCAGAGUUUAACCAAGGCUGGUAGCAAAAGCAUGAUGUGAGAAAUGCUUGCAGGACUCAGAAAUACUCUCUGAGGCCUUUCAACAGCACUAAGAACACCGCUGGUAUUUUGCAAUCCAUGCACAAUUUAUUUCCAUAGCAGGAAAAAUAUUAGCCUCACAAACAUCUUUAGUCAAUCAGAGGCUGUAUAAUCAUGAGAAAAUUAACCUGAUUCCAAGGAGAUGUAUAAAGUUCAAAUUAGUAUUCACACUGGAUUGUCGGAGAUAUAUUUAAUCUAUAAUUACAGUAAUCCACAGCUGCUUCAACUGUAGAAAAUAAUGAAUUGCCCAGUGAGAGCCGGUGCCCAUGAAAUGGAAAGCAAAGGCCAUCUGUUGUGGAGCUUCCUCUGAUUCUGUGCUUUGAGCACAGAGAGCUUGAUCUCCUUUGACACAGCCUAUAUGUGAUUUAUGGCUGCAAGCCCUCCAAGCAGCCAUAUCACCAAACAGAGGGAAUAAAAAUAAAAAUGAUAAAUGAUGAUGA